UUGCAACUAUCUGAGCAAUAUAAAGAAAUCCUGAAAAGAAUGACUCGAAAACCUGAGUCACGCCAAUUCUUUGGUCUUAUGGGGAUAAGAGGCUCUGUCCCAGGUAACAAGACCAGGGCAGAAAUUUGAGUCUUUUGUUGGACUGAUGGGUAAAAGGAGCUCAGAGGAACAAGGUAAAAUAUCAGCAUUUAGUGUAUCCAUGACUCAUUCUGAGUGAGUUUUUUCUUUCUCUUAGGACAUACUGUUGAUUACUGUUAUUCAUGCAGGUUCCUUCUAAUGGAUCUCCAUAGCAGCUACAUACAACUUGCAUCAAAAUAAUUAAAUGUGAACCAGGAUGCACUGAACAUGUGUUUGCAUGAUUGUUUCAGUCAAGCGUGAAGUCCAAUGUUUUGAAAACAUUUUUGCGUCAGCAAAUUAACAGUACUUGCAAAAAUAGCUUUAGAAAAUGAAGGAAUAUCCAUAUUACUGUGUGAAAUGUCAAAUCUAUUCAGGCAAAAUAACCUGCUAGUGCUCUGAAAACAUUCAUAUUGUGCAUGUAAUGUGGCAGAAUACUUACAUCAAAAGUAAAACCACUAAACUGAGAAACGCUGAAAAGGAAACCCAUGUUGCCCUCUGGUGGAGAUAUGGUGGAGACAAAGCAGAUUAAUACUGAACUACAGAGCAAAAAUAACACAUUUAAAUAUCAGUAGGCUUACAUAAUAGGUAUUCUGAAUGUAGAAAGGCAGUAUCAACAUGCAUCUUUUAGCAGCAUUCAUUGCAUUGCAAGUCUAUCACAUGUUUAUUAAGUGACUUUGUACAAUACAAAUAAAAAAUACAGAUGAGUACAUAGGCAAAGCAAAAUAUGGUUGACUU